rnacentral:rRNA from 1 species
GACACUGAGGCUCGAAAGCGUGGGUAGCAAACAGGAUUAGAUACCCUGGUAGUCCACGCCGUAAACGAUGUCUACUAGUCGUUGGGUCCCUUGAGGACUUAGUGACGCAGCUAACGCAAUAAGUAGACCGCCUGGGGAGUACGGCCGCAAGGUUAAAACUCAAAUGAAUUGACGGGGGCCCGCACAAGCGGUGGAGCAUGUGGUUUAAUUCGAUGCAACGCGAAGAACCUUACCUGGUCUUGACAUACACAGAAUCUUGUAGAGAUACGAGAGUGCCUUCGGGAAUUGUGAUACAGGUGCUGCAUGGCUGUCGUCAGCUCGUGUCGUGAGAUGUUGGGUUAAGUCCCGCAACGAGCGCAACCCUUGUCCCUAGUUACCAGCACUUCGGGUGGGAACUCUAAGGAUACUGCCAGUGACAAACUGGAGGAAGGCGGGGACGACGUCAAGUCAUCAUGGCCCUUACGACCAGGGCUACACACGUGCUACAAUGGUAGGUACAGAGGGCAGCUACACAGCGAUGUGAUGCGAAUCUCAAAAAGCCUAUCGUAGUCCAGAUUGGAGUCUGCAACUCGACUCCAUGAAGUAGGAAUCGCUAGUAAUCGCGGAUCAGAAUGCCGCGGUGAAUACGUUCCCGGGCCUUGUACACACCGCCCGUCACACCAUGGGAGUUGAUUGCACCAGAAGUGGUUAGCC